GAAAUAAUCAGACUCAAAAAGACAAAUAUUACAUGAUUCCAGUUAACAGAGCAGCUGGAAGCACAUCCUGGGGACUUGGGAGCUCUGGAAAGAUGAGCAGGAGAGGGCCAUGGCCAGAGGAGGCCUGAAAAAGAUCAUCUCUGCCACAGAGAAGAAGCUGGCUCGGAUGCUGGUGGCCACUGUGGAGACAGGGAGGCCCGGGGAGACAACUGUAUUCAUUCAAGGAGGAAUGGGUGAUGGUGCAAACUUGGGUGGAGGCCACAGGGUGCAGAAGACAGGACACAGCAGAAAGAGAUGUAGGACAUGGAAGGGACAGAAAGGAGUGACCACCGGACGUAAAGGGGCAAGGAAAGUGGAAGCAUGAGAACAUCUGCUGGGCAUCUGACUUAGGGGUCGGGUGCCCAGGGUGCCCUUCCCUAAGGGAGAACCCAGGACAGGAGCAGAUUCAGAGAAAACCGCCCAGCUCACUCCAGCAAGAAGCAGAAAAGGGACUGGUUCAAGGACAGCGUAGGAAGGUCACCAAGCUCCAAGGGCCCUCAUGAGUCCGGCUUGGAGGCCACAGGGCCCAGGGCAUGGACCAAACCACAGGCACAGGACAGCUCCGGUCAAGAUCUUCUGGCUACUGCAGGAGGCAGAAACCACACCCUGCAUCCUGCACUGCUGAGGCUGGCCCCGGAGUCCAGAAGCUUCUGCAGCAGAAGCUUCUGUCCCCCAUCCCCACUCAAAAAAGUAAAACAAAAACAAAAAGCAAAUCGGUGCCAUGCACCCUCUGCUUCCUGGUGCUGUUCGGGAUCCUGAGUCUUUCACGGGAGCACCUGAUGGGGAAAGCCUGGACCCGUGUCGGUGUCCCUCCUGCAAGGACUGCUGGGAAAAUGAACUUUCCGCCUUCCUCCUUGGGAAGGCAGAACAUUCCUCAUGUGUACUGGAGGCAUUUAAAAACUGCAGGGCGGCCAGAGAACAUGCACCGUGUUCCACCAAGAGAGUUUCCGGCGGGAUGUCCCGGUGCAGACGCCCGUCCCAAGAGAUUAUUCCAGGAAAAGAAGUGGCCCUCAGUGUCAAAGGAUGCAAAACUAACCUGUGAGUUCCUGGCAGGUUUAGCAAUAAAGGAGGAUGUUGCUGAUCUCAGUAGAAGCAAUGUUAGAGAAAGGGGAAGAUGGAAGUGGACAAGGAAGAGUGAGUGGAAGGUGACAAAUGGAAGCAAAGAAACGUAUCCAGACCGUUGAAGAUGCUUGACCGAGAAGAAAGAGGCGGUGGAGGGAAUGGAAGCCCGAGGAAGUCAUUUGUUGCAAUAAGAGGCCUCAGAGCACGUGUAGGGUGCGGGGCAGAGCCCAUGCAGAGGGGCUGUGGAAGGCUGGCAGGGUGCAGGUGUCCCCACCCUCUGUCACCCUGAGGAGUAUGUGGUCAGAGUUAAAGCUCAGUCUGUUUCUGGGAUCAGGUUUUCACAAGCUCCAAAAGAUUCACCGUGCGGAACUGGAGGAUAUAGAGAAAGACCACACCUCCUCCUGCAGGUAACUCUUGAUUCAGGAAAUAGCUCUUGGCUUAUCCCUCAGCUUAGUGUAAUUCGAAUACCUGACCAUAGGACACGAAGGGCUUUGGGACCUGAAUGGCACAUCAUGUCCUGGUGACAUCUGAGUUACCUGGGGCAUGCACAGCAGCCUUCAGCAUCCCAGGGAGAGCUGUGUAUGGGGCCAGGCUCAAGCAGUUCCCAGUGAACCAGGGACCCAAUGGGUGACUCAGACUCCCAUGGCACCUGCUCCUUCUGUUUCUCCCUCCACCAUAUAUAUGAGCUCAUGGGAAACGCUGUGACCUCUUAUAGAGGAGGAAAGUGCAUGGACUUCCAGCUUCUAGAACUGGGAUACAAUAAAGUCCUGUUGCUUAUCU
rnacentral:lncRNA from 1 species